rnacentral:lncRNA from 1 species
GGAUGAUUCUGAGGCAGCUUGGAAACUGUCACCACUACCAACAAAGGAGCAUGACUGAAUGAGAAUCUCUAAAGGAGCAGGUUCAGCCUCUGCCAUGGACUGUUCUGGUGCUGCAGCAGAACAUUUGCAUCAUUUGCAGCCCACGGGAAUUUUCUGAAGAAAGGAAUAGAGAAUCAGAGUCUUCUACACGGCACCCCAACUAAUGAAAACUCCAUGCAAGAUGAAAACACUUUCUCAGAACUGGUGGUUUUCCUCGUGCUUGCUGAACUGAUCGAACUCACUAACCUGUCAGAAAAGCAACCCAGCAAAAAGUGGAGUUGGCUCAUGGAAGGGUCAGACUAGGAAACCAGGGCAGCUGCUGGAGUGAAGGGCAGUUCCUUCCAGAUCAAGGCAAACAAUGUGUUUAUGCAGCAUCCUCUCCAGACAUUAUGAAAUGCAGCUUUGUAGGCCUUUCCUGUCAGCUCACACAGAUAAUUCUAUUGAGAGAUCUGAGAUGCUUUUAAGAAUGUGCAUUUACCUUUAAUAAUAAC